GUUGCUGAAUAACUGCUCAAAACGCUGCACACACGCUGGAAGGAAACACAGAUGAAAGACGGGAGAAGCGGACUCGGCAGGAUGUCGCAUCCUGGGCCUACGUAGUUUGUCAGACACAAACAUCAAAGUCGACGUAGUUCGGGGAAAAGGGAAAUGUGCUCGCUAGGAUGUCGCAUCCUAUGCAUACGUAUCUUCUCUAACCAGAGAAAGAAUCAG
rnacentral:lncRNA from 1 species